AGGUGGAGGUUGCAGUGAGGCGAGAUUGCACCACUGCACUCCAGCCUGGGCAACAGAGCGAGACUUGGUCUACACGCUUUGUAAUCUAAAACAUUCUCUACCAAUACCUCAAUCAGUGAAUUCUUGCUUUAUUGAUACAUUCUAGUAUUCAGUUGUGAUUUUAAUAUGCUAUUUUGGUACUUUCUGCUUUCAGUUUUCAUUGCUGUGGCUAUUGCCUUAAACAGAAACAAAAAACUAAAACAAUUUUACAACCAUCCAAAAGAGGCUUGGAAACUUUUUUUUGGCUGGAUAUCCAUAGCACAAUUUAAUUCAGUAAACAUAAACAGUUAAAAUUAUUCCAGUACACAACCAUGUUUUAAAAAAGAGAUUACACCCAAUUUUGGCAACAACACCCAGGAAAUAAGCAUUCUUUUACAUUUGGUUCAAACUUUCUGAAUGGCAGUUGUGCAACACUUGUUGUGAAAAACUUUAGAAUAUUAUAAACAUGUUAAUCCUGUAUUUCCAUUUCUGUGAAUUCAUCCAAAAGAAAUAACCAUGGAUAUGGGUAGAGACAGAGCCAUAUGGAAUGCACACUGCAGUGGUGAACACAUGGCCCAGCUCUGCCAUCAAGGAGAAGGAACAUGAAUGGAGCUGGAGGCCAUCAUCCUUAGUGAACUAACACAGGAGCAGAAAACCAAAUACCACAUGUUCUCAUGUGUAAGUGGGAGCUAAAUGAUGAGAACACAUGGACACAAAGAGGGGAACAACAGACACUGAAGCCUCCUUGAGGGAGGAGGGUAAGAGGAAGGAGAAGAUCAGAAAAGAUAACUACCAGGUACUAUGGUAGCUUAGUACCUGGGUGAUGAAAUAAUCUGUACACCCAACCCUCAUGACAGAAGUUUACCUGUGUAACAAACCUGCACAUGUAUCCCUGAAACUAAAAGUUUUUUAAAAAGUUAUUUAAUAUAUAUAUAUUUUUUUGAGACGGAGUUUUGCUCUUGUUGCCCAGGCUGGAGUGCGGUGGCGCAAUUUCGGCUCACCACAACCUCCGCCUCCCAGGUUCAAGCUAUUCCCCUGCCUCAGCCUCCCUAGUAGCUGGGAUUACAGGCUUGUGCCACCACGCCGGCUAAUUUUGUAUUUUUUGUAGAGACGGGGUUUCUCCAUGUUGGUCAGGCUGGUCUCGAACUCCCGACCUCAGGUGAUCCACCCCCCUCGGCCUCCCAAAGUGCUAGGAUUACAGGCAUGAGCCACUGCGCCCGGCAAAAAGUUAUUUAAUAUUAAUGGGACAAUACUCAUUGCAAGAAUCAGACUUCAAUUGCUAGCAUAAGUAAAUGACAGGCAGGAGAUAUUGAAAAUGCAAUCUUAUAGACAUUCAAGGAGAGGACGCAGGACAUUUCUGUGUCAUAAAUGUACUAUGGAAAAUAAAAAUGAGAAAAAUGGAAAUAAAAUACAAGAAAAGGUUAUGAUAAAUUUCAUAUUAUUUUACCACAAUAAAAAAAUUUUAAUAAAUUAUAAAUGGUGUGAUAUGUUUUGCCUGUGUUCCACCCAAAUCUCAUCUUGAAUUAGAGCUCCCACAAUUCCCACGUGUUGUGGCUGGGACCCUGUGGGAGAUAAUUGAAUCAUGGGGGCAGUUUACCCCAUACUGUUCUCUUGGUGGUGAAUAAGUCUCAUGAGAGUUGAUGGUUUGAUAAGGGGUUUCCCCUUUUGCUUGGCUCUCAUUCUCUCUUGACUGCCACCAUGUAAGAUGUGCCUUUUGCCUUCCACCAUGAUUGUGAAGCCUCCCAGCCACAUGGAACUGUGAGUC
rnacentral:lncRNA from 10 species